rnacentral:sRNA from 1 species
CGCCAGAGCAGUGUUUCAGUUAUACCCAGAAAACAGUGAACAGUUGGAGCUUUUAACUCAACAGGCAAUGAAGUCAGGGUUCACGGGAGGUCUUGUCAUAGACUACCCUAACAGUACAAAGG